CCACACUGCAGACUGGAAACUCUCAGGACGGACCAUUGUGGACUGCAGAGACUGAGACCUGGUCUGAGGAAGUAUGUCUGUGAACUGGAACUGGACACAAACACAGUAAACAGAAGACUCAAACUGUCUGACAAUAACAGGAAGGUGACAAAUGUGGGAGAGGAUCAGUUAUAUCCUGAUCAUCCAGACAGAUUUGACUCCUGGCCUCAGCUGCUGUGUAGAAAUGGUCUGACUGGUCGCUGUUACUGGGAGGUCAAGAGGAGAGGAGACGUUCAUAUAUCAGUGAGUUACAGAGGAAUUAGAAGGAGAGGAGACAGUGAUGACUGUGGGUUUGGAUGGAAUGAUCAGUCCUGGAGUCUGAGCUGCUCUGAUGAUGGUCGUUAUUCUGUUAGGCACAAUAACAGAGUAACAGUCCUCACUUCCUCCUCUGUCUCUAACAGAGUAGCAGUGUAUGUGGACUGUCCUGCUGGCACUCUGUCAUUCUACACAGUCUCCUCUGACUCACUUAUCCACCUCCACACCUUCAACACCACAUUAAAUCAACCUCUUUAUCCUGGGUUUAUGCUCUGGUCUGGUUCCUCAGUGUCUCUGUGUCCUCUGCAGGACUGAGAGUCGCUCCUGUGGACAGAAACGCUGACUGAAGAUCAGCUGCUGAAAUCAAAGUUCAGUCUGUUCACCAUCACACAUUACAGACCAAACAUGAAUAAUUUGUGUGAAUAAAUCACUUGUCAAUUUAAACAUUCAAGCCCAUCUGUCUCUAUGCUCCUUUUCACACCAAUCCGAAACUUUCACUUGUUUAGUCUUACACAACUGUUUAGGUUUCUGCAGAUUUCUGAUGCCGAUUAAAAACAAGCCAACCGAUAAAAUGACUUUUGUUUAAUGCAAUCAAUAGAUUCUCUCAGACGUCAAUCUCUGUUCAUACUGUCACACAACAAUGUGGGUAUCGAUUCAUUAGAUCUCGCAGCAUAGUGUCCUUUUUGACAAACAAAAUAAAAAUUAUAAAGACAACAUCUGGGGAAGUACAGCAGUUAAACUGUCUGUCUGCACUUUAUGAAUUACUUUUUACUUGUACCUCACUUUGUUUUGUGUUGCUUAGUUUUUAAUAUGUAUUAUCUUGUAUGUUUUUAUGUAAAGCACAUUAUGAUUCUAUCUGUGAAAAGUGUUCUUUAAAUAAAGCUGUGCUGAAUUAAUCAGAAAGCAGCAACGAUUCAUA